rnacentral:rRNA from 1 species
GACGGAAAGGCCCAAGCUUGCUUGGGUACUCGAGUGGCGAACGGGUGAGUAACACGUGGGUGAUCUGCCCUGCACUUCGGGAUAAGCCUGGGAAACUGGGUCUAAUACCGGAUAGGACCACUUCUUGGAUGUUGUGGUGGAAAGUUUUUUCGGUGUGGGAUGAGCUCGCGGCCUAUCAGCUUGUUGGUGGGGUAAUGGCCUACCAAGGCGUCGACGGGUAGCCGGCCUGAGAGGGUGUACGGCCACAUUGGGACUGAGAUACGGCCCAGACUCCUACGGGAGGCAGCAGUGGGGAAUAUUGCACAAUGGGCGCAAGCCUGAUGCAGCGACGCCGCGUGGGGGAUGACGGCCUUCGGGUUGUAAACUCCUUUCGCUAGGGACGAAGCGUUUUGUGACGGUACCUGGAGAAGAAGCACCGGCUAACUACGUGCCAGCAGCCGCGGUAAUACGUAGGGUGCGAGCGUUGUCCGGAAUUACUGGRCGUAAAGAGCUCGUAGGUGGUUUGUCGCGUCGUUUGUGUAAGCCCGCAGCUUAACUGCGGGUCUGCAGGCGAUACGGGCAUAACUUGAGUGCUGUAGGGGAGACUGGAAUUCCUGGUGUAGCGGUGGAAUGCGCAGAUAUCAGGAGGAACACCGAUGGCKAAGGCAGGUMUCU